rnacentral:lncRNA from 1 species
CAGAUCCGCCACGAGCGAUGGCGGUUGCGCGUCCUAGGGGUGAAGAGAGACGCCUUGUUUGUGGACAUCGACAAGGUAACGAAGGAAUUUGAAGACGAGACCGAGGACAUCACCAACUCCGCAUUGGCCGCGCCGCCACCGCCGUUCCCACCUUGCCGCCACGACGAUGCCAACACGUCCAAAUCCACCGUUGGUGAUGCAAAGUAGAGUAAAACAUGGGAAGCCGCCGCCGCUUGGGUCCUAGGAAGGCCACCACCGACGUCUUUCCGG